AAGCCAUCUUGUGAAUUUAUCCUCAACCUUUAUUAUAUCAUUUCCUCAUCGUUGUCAGUGUCCUCCGCCACAUUUUGCACCGUGAUCACGAAUUGUGUGUACUUCGGUGUUCUAAUGAUAGAGCAUACACUUAAAUGACCCAAAUUUUCAGUGGGAAAAUUUUCACCCACGGCAAAGUUGAUCGCAUGUUCAACUUUAGUGCUGUUGCGCAUAUAGAAACAAGCACUGCGGGCGAGAGGGACUUUACAGGCCUCAAGGAUUAGCUAGGUAAAGAGUUAUAAGCCUUAAGAAUUAGGAACAAAAACAUAUUGAUGUUAUCAUUCUUUUUCUGUAAAUCUACAGAUCUGUAGUUACAUCUAUUAUUGUUUUUUAAAAGAAAAUAAAGGAGCAGAUGUUGGCAUCCCUACCUAGGUAUCGUUCGCUAGAACGCCAUGCGACCACACGCUAGAUAUCUUCCAUCUCCAUCAGGUUAUGGGCCCUUUGGUGCUUCAAGUGCCGUCAAAUGCUUAAAAUUUCAAUCUAAUUAUUGAUUCUGUGUUCUCUGUGAUAGUGGAUAAGCUGUUUUGGAGUAGAGUUAUCAGAUUAAAUGCUUUAAAGAGGUCUUCAGCUGUCUCCGUGAUCAAGUUAUUUUGCAAUUAUGAUACAUACAAUGUCCCUG
rnacentral:sRNA from 2 species